rnacentral:rRNA from 1 species
AUUGAACGCUGGCGGCAGGCCUAACACAUGCAAGUCGAACGAGUGGCGGACGGGUGAGUACUGUCUGGGACACUGCCUGAUGGAGGGGGAUACCUACUGGAAACGGUAGCUAAUACCUCAUACCAUCGGAUGUGCCCAGAUGGGAUUAUCUAGUAGGGGGGGUAAAGGCUCACCUAGGCGACGAUCCCUAGCUGGUCUGAGAGGAUGACCAGCCACACUGGAACUGAGACAAGGUCCAGACUCCUACGGGAGGCAGCAGUGGGGAAUAUGGCACAAUGGGCGCAAGCCUGAUGCAGCCAUGCCGCGUGUAUGAAGAAGGCCGUCGGGUUGUAAAGUACUUUCAGCGGGGAGGCGUUACCCGCAGAAGAAGCACCGGCUAACUCCGUGCCAGCAGCCGCGGUAAUAC